UAGUAGAUACGGGGAAUCGUCGCAUAGA
rnacentral:sRNA from 1 species